GGGUCGCUCAGGGGGAGGAGUAGUGGAAGCAGUUGCUGUUGCUUUCUUGGCUCUGCUCCUGCUGCUUCUCUUGGCCUCCUCCAACCUUGUGCUGCAUCUCCCGAUCUCUCUUUUGAUCUUCUCUUCUGUCUGUGACCACUUCUCCCUUCUCCUCUCCUCUUUUAGAUGACUUCACUUCUCUCUCUCUCUCUCUCUCUAACACAUCACACACACCUCUUUCUUGCUUGUUACUGUUCUCUUUUAUUUAUUUCUCCCAGUCUCUCUCUCUCUAUCCCUCUGCUUUGGGGUUGCUCUCUCUCUCUCUCAAGUGUCAAGUGGUGUAAUAUGCUUGAGAUUUUUAGAGGGUAGAGUAUGUAUGGGGGAGGGAGGGCAACAUGG
rnacentral:lncRNA from 1 species